rnacentral:rRNA from 1 species
UACGAAGGGUGCAAGCGUUAAUCGGAAUUACUGGGCGUAAAGCGCGCGUAGGUGGUUCAGUAAGUUGGAAGUGAAAUCCCCGGGCUCAACCUGGGAACUGCUUUCAAAACUGCUGAGCUAGAGUACGGUAGAGGGUGGUGGAAUUUCCUGUGUAGCGGUGAAUGCGUAGAUAUAGGAAGGAACACCAGUGGCGAAGGCGACCACCUGGACUGAUACUGACACUGAGGUGCGAAAGCGUGGGGAGCAAACAGG